UAAAUGGAGAAAGUUAACAAUAUGUAUUUCUACAGAUUUCCAAGACAAACUAAAGAGUUGCAUCUGAUGUGGAGUAGUCCUUGUAAGCUGUGAAGGCGGAGGGAGUUUUGGCUAGUGGAGUUUCAAAAGCAGACUUAAGACUCAGAUAAUCGAAAAAGUCCAAGAUUAAUAGGAAUGCUUUAACAGGGCUACCAGAACUUAAAACAAAGCUACAUCAUGGGAAAAAUGAAUGAAAACCGCUUAAAGCUUUGUACGAUAGCAGCAACAAGAGCUAGAUGCAGUUCCCUCCGUGUCUAAGUAUCUACAUUACCUGGGAGAGAACAUCCUGUAGACGUAGAUUGUAGGGAAUGCCUGAGUAGGCAUACUCUGUUUAAAACAGCGAUAACUUGAAGCGUAAGACUGGCGACUGAACUGCUGCAGAAACAAAGCGAUGUAUAGAUGUCAGAUGAUAAUCUUGUGUUCAUCAUCAAAAUGAAAGUUGUAACACACUCAGGAAAUGAGCACAGGAGAGCAGAUGUAGGAAUCAAGUGUCACUGCACUCGGUGAGGUUGUAAUGGAGUUGGUUUGCGGUAGGAUGAAACCCAGUGCUGGUCCAUGGGCCUACUGUUCUCAAAAAGUACGUUGCGGCUGCUGAGCUCAACUCUAAAUCUGAAGAACAUAAAGUGUCACAUGCCUUCACAUCAAGAGACAGUGUAAGAAGGUACAAAUGUAAUCCAGGACAUUAGCGCAAAAUGUGAUCACGAACGUUACCCCAUCACCUCUCAUCCCUUUGUCACCCAAAUACUGGCAUUGAAAAUUUUCCACCACCAGGAUGACUUGCAUCCAAGUUGAGAGCCACCACACAGAACUUUGUUAGCAACCUUGGUUAUGAAGAUGGGGCCAUCUCACCACAAUCGUAGAAAUUUCAAAGCAAUAGGCCUACUGCUGUGUUAACAUUGCCAAGUUCUGUAAACAUUCUCCUGUUUGUUUUUACCCCAAAUGUCAUAUAAGAGUGGGAUCCAACACACUCUCUACAUCAUUUGUCCACUAAAUUCAAAUGGUCGGUGGAGGAAAGAUGUUUGUUUAUGUUCAUCCAUAAAUAAACAUUUAUUUGCACUCAAUGUCAUCAAGAUUAAAGCUGAUAACUGAAGAUCUAGCUGAAGCCUCUUCAGGCUUCUUAUACUUAAAUGCCAAUACACAUAUUCCCUAACGGUAUUUGUGGACAACAGAAACUUUAAUGAACUCGGCAAUUCACAAACACAGUACUACAGGUAGAAAUAAUUUACUUCUCCUGGUUUAAAAGGGAGUUUUAUAUUCUGGUGCAAAAGAUUGUAACAGGUGGACUGUAGAAAAGAAACUAAACAUUCCCACCUAUCCAUAUAAACGGCAAGUUGACAUAUCCUGAGCAUGUGAAUUUGUUGAAAACAAGUGACCAGUCAGUGUGUAAAAAAGAGUCGAGCUAAGACACUAAAAGUAAGUUGUCAGUCAGUGUGUGAAAAUAAUCAAGCUGUAUACGGAAAAAAAAGAGGAAGUAUCCAGUCUAUGUGUGAAAGCAAACAAGCUACUGCAUGUUUGUUUUGCUUCACAAUUGCUAAAUAUGUAUGGGAAUUGGACAUACAUCCUAAUCUCCUUCUCCCCUCCUGUCGCCUACCAUCUCCUUUCCCCUCUCUCUGUCCAUCUCCUCCUCUGUCCUCUCUAUAUCCAUUUCUUCCCUCCCUGCCAAUGGCCAUCUCUUCUCUCCCCCUUCUCUCUCUGAGCUUGAGCCUUGCUUGUUAUUACAAUUUUAGUUUCCAUAGUAGUAUUCUAAUCAUAAACCAUAAAUACAAUGUUCCUGUUUCCUGUGAAAACAGACUGCAAGGAAUAAAACAAAACAGUAUAGUUUUGUGUUUACAGUUUGCAUUUAAAAUAUAUAUAAUGAGGUAGAACAUAUAUGGAAGAAAUAAUUUGUCUAGCAGUUUAAGUGCCCAGCUAUCAUAAUUGAAACUGAUUGUGAGAAAGAAAACAAAACUAUACAUUUUCACAGCAGAGCAUGGCAAACAUUUUCUUUGGCACAGUCAGUUUUAACAGAAAACUGGUAGUUGGUCUUUAAAAGAAUAUAUGGCCUGUGUCUCUCUGAAUGUUUAUAAAGGUAUCAUGUAAAAAUUUGAAAUAAAUUGG